rnacentral:rRNA from 1 species
CAUGGCUCAGGAUGAACGCUAGCUACAGGCUUAACACAUGCAAGUCGAUGGGAAACGAUAGAGAAAGCUUGCUUUUUCUAGGCGUCGACCGGCGCACGGGUGAGUAACGCGUAUCCAACCUGCCCAUCACUUGGGGAUAACCUUGCGAAAGUAAGACUAAUACCCAAUGAUAUCUCAAGAAGACAUCUGAAUGAGAUUAAAGAUUUAUCGGUGAUGGAUGGGGAUGCGUCUGAUUAGCUUGUUGGCGGGGUAACGGCCCACCAAGGCGACGAUCAGUAGGGGUUCUGAGAGGAAGGUCCCCCACAUUGGAACUGAGACACGGUCCAAACUCCUACGGGAGGCAGCAGUGAGGAAUAUUGGUCAAUGGGCGAGAGCCUGAACCAGCCAAGUAGCGUGCAGGAAGACGGCCCUAUGGGUUGUAAACUGCUUUUAUAAGGGAAUAAAGUGAGCCUCGUGAGGCUUUUUGCAUGUACCUUAUGAAUAAGGACCGGCUAAUUCCGUGCCAGCAGCCGCGGUAAUACGGAAGGUCCGGGCGUUAUCCGGAUUUAUUGGGUUUAAAGGGAGCGUAGGCCGGAGAUUAAGCGUGUUGUGAAAUGUAGAUGCUCAACAUCUGCACUGCAGCGCGAACUGGUUUCCUUGAGUACGCACAAAGUGGGCGGAAUUCGUGGUGUAGCGGUGAAAUGCUUAGAUAUCACGAAGAACUCCGAUUGCGAAGGCAGCUCACUGGAGCGCAACUGACGCUGAAGCUCGAAAGUGCGGGUAUCGAACAGGAUUAGAUACCCUGGUAGUCCGCACGGUAAACGAUGGAUGCCCGCUGUUGGUCUGAAUAGGUCAGCGGCCAAGCGAAAGCAUUAAGCAUCCCACCUGGGGAGUACGCCGGCAACGGUGCAACUCAAAGGAAUUGACGG